GUGCCCCGCCGCGGUAAUACCGGCAGCCCGAGUGAUGGCCGAUGUUAUUGGGCCUAAAGCGUCCGUAGCUGGCCGCGCAAGUCCAUCGGGAAAUCCACCCGCCCAACGGGUGGCCGUCCGGUGGAAACUGCACGGCUUGGGACCGGAAGGCUCGAGGGGUACGUCCGGGGUAGGAGUGAAAUCCCGUAAUCCCGAACGGACCACCGAUGGCGAAAGCACCUCGAGAAGACGGCUCCGACAGUGAGGGACGAAAGCUCGGGUCUCAAACCGGAUUAGAUACCCGCGUAGUCC
rnacentral:rRNA from 1 species